CCCUUAGAUGUUCUGGGCCGCACGCGCGCUACACUGAUGCAUUCAACGAGUUUCUUCCUGGUCCGAGAGGAAUGGGUAACCUUUUGAAAGUGCAUCGUGAUAGGGAUAGACUAUUGCAAUUAUUGGUCUUCAACGAGGAAUUCCUAGUAGACGUAGUUCAUCAGACUGCAUCGAUUACGUCCCUGCCCUUUGUACACACCGCCCGUCGCUCCUACCGAUUGAAUGGUCCGGUGAAAUCUUCGGAUUGCUGGAUAGGACUUCAUUGACCUAUCUGCGAGAAGUUGCUUGAACCUUAUCAUUUAGAGGAAGGAGAAGUCGUAACA
rnacentral:rRNA from 1 species